rnacentral:lncRNA from 1 species
GCAACCUACACAAGAUUAAGGAAGGAAGGAAGGAGAAAACGCUGGCCCCAGGCAGUAGAUGUAGGAAUGUGUUUGGGGGAAGAGCCUCCUGAUUGGCUGUAUUAAGAGAAGAUCGUCUCAAGGCUUCAUCUUAACAGCUCUCUAGGAAGGACAGAAAAGCAGCUGGGAUCAUCACUCCCAGCCCAAGCAGCAAUCUAGCAGCUGUUACUGGACCACACUCCUCAUAUAGAUGUCCAUGUGAUUUUCUUAGCUAGGGGCACAUCUGUGGGACAUUAUGGAUCUGCCAGAAGAUUAAACACUUCAUUUGCACUUA